rnacentral:rRNA from 1 species
UACGAAGGGGGCUAGCGUUGCUCGGAAUCACUGGGCGUAAAGGGUGCGUAGGCGGGUCUUUAAGUCAGGGGGGAAAUCCUGGAGCUCAACUCCAGAACUGCCUUUGAUACUGAAGAUCUUGAGUUCGGGAGAGGUGAGUGGAACUGCGAGUGUAGAGGUGAAAUUCGUAGAUAUUCGCAAGAACACCAGUGGCGAAGGCGGCUCACUGGUCCGGUACUGACGCUGAGGUGCGAAAGCGUGGGGAGCAAACAGG